rnacentral:rRNA from 1 species
AUUGAACGCUAGCGGGAUGCCUUACACAUGCAAGUCGAACGAGUGGCGGACGGGUGAGUAAUGUCUGGGAAACUGCCCGAUGGAGGGGGAUAACUACUGGAAACGGUAGCUAAUACCGCAUACCAUCGGAUGUGCCCAGAUGGGAUUAGCUAGUUGGUGGGGUAACGGCUCACCUAGGCGACGAUCCCUAGCUGGUCUGAGAGGAUGAACAGCCACACUUGAACUGAGACACGGUACAGACUCCUACGGGAGGCAGCAGUGGGGAAUUUUGCACAAUGGGCGCAAGCCUGAUACAGCCAUGCCGCGUGUAUGAAGAAGGCCUUCGGGUUGUAAAGUACUUUCGGCGAGGAGGCGAUACUCGCAGAAGAAGCACCGGCUAACUCCGUGCCAGCAGCCGCGGUAAUUC